rnacentral:rRNA from 1 species
UACAGAGGUCUCAAGCGUUGUUCGGAUUCAUUGGGCGUAAAGGGUGCGUAGGUGGCGCGCUAAGUCAGGUGUGAAAUUUCGGAGCUUAACUCCGAAACUGCAUUUGAUACUGGUGUGCUUGAGGACUGGAGAGGAGACUGGAAUUUACGGUGUAGCAGUGAAAUGCGUAGAGAUCGUAAGGAAGACCAGGUGGCGAAGGCGGGUCUCUGGACAGUUCCUGACAGCUGAGGCAACGAAGGCCAGGGGAGGCAAACGGG